rnacentral:rRNA from 1 species
GACGAACGCUGGCGGCGUGCUUAACACAUGCAAGUCGAACGGAAAGGCCCUUCGGGGUACUCGAGUGGCGAACGGGUGAGUAACACGUUAGUGAUCUGCCCUGCACUUUGGGAUAAGCCUGGGACACUGGGUCUCAUACCGAAUAAGACCACGCGCUUCAUGGUGUGUGGGUGUAAGCUUUUGCGGUGUGGGAUGGGCCCGCGGCCUAUCAGCUUGUUGGUGGGGUAGUGGCCUACCAAGGCGACGACGGGUAGCCGGCCUGAGAGGGUGACCGGCCACACUGGGACUGAGAUACGGCCCAGACUCCUACGGGAGGCAGCAGUGGGGAAUAUUGCACAAUGGGCGCAAGCCUGAUGCAGCGACGCCGCGUGAGGGAUGACGGCCUUCGGGUUGUAAACCUCCUUCAAUAGGGACGAAGCGCAAGUGACGGUACCUAUAGAAGAAGCACCGGCCAACUACGUG